UGAAACCCCAGCAGCUUUCUAGCAGGAGCGACAGGAGGGGAACAGUGGAGAGAAUUCUCCCCCAGCUACUGGAGGCCCCGGAGACAGGAUAAGGAUCUGGGACUUGACGGGAUCAGCAGACCAGCUCCCAACAGAACAAAUGUUCUGCUUGAUUGCAUUGGAACGUGAGCGAGCCCCAAAUGGAAAAAGCUGCUUGCCUCCUUCCCGUUUGUUUAAUGGCUGGUGCGGUUUGGAUCUUCCCAGGUCUGGGAGGGAAAAAGAUUUGUUUUAGAAUUAAUAUUCUGAAACCCGAGGAGAAGAGUCGGAAAACCUGCAGUUCCCUCAAGGAGAGGACUGUCAAUUGGAUCAUCCACCCUGCCAAGACCACUUCUGGAGUUGCUGUUCUGAGCCACCUAGACGAACGCACAGGCCAGCCCCCGGAACCUGCUCUUCAUUUGCCUUCCAUGCCCAACUUGAACCAGUGAUUUGUUAUGCUUUUUCUUCUCGUUGUAAGUAAAUAUUCACUUG
rnacentral:lncRNA from 1 species